UACGUAGGGGGCAAGCGUUGUCCGGAAUUACUGGGCGUAAAGGGCGCGUAGGCGGACAAGCAAGUCAGGGGUGAAAGACCUGGGCUCAACCUGGGAAUUGCCUUUGAAACUGCUAGUCUUUGAGUCCGGAAGAGGAUGGCGGAAUUCCCAGUGUAGAGGUGAAAUUCGUAGAUAUUGGGAAGAACACCGGUGGCGAAGGCGGCCAUCUGGUCCGGAACUGACGCUGAGGCGCGAAAGCGUGGGGAGCAAACAGG
rnacentral:misc_RNA from 1 species